GGGAGAGCCGCCUCUGGACGUCCUACUGCGGCGGCGGGCCCCUGGCGGCCCCCCUGGAGGGCCUCUACCUGGGCCUGCUGGCCCGGCUGGAGAGGGAGCACGGGGGGCAGCUGGUGAGGCGCGUGGGCGCGCUCAUGGCCGUCUCGCGGGGAGGAUGCGAGGAAGAGGUCGGUUUAAAGGAUGUUAAAAACAGCUCUUCGAUAUUGGUCCAGAAAUGUCAAAAAAUGUAAUUGGUUUUAUCAAUGAAAAACCUCAGCUCCCCUGUUUGCUUUCAUCUGUUUACAGGCAAGUCUUGCCUCUCAAAUAUCACAUAAAAGGGUUGAAGCAGUCUAUGUAUAUAUGUCUGGCCCUUGGGAGGGCCCCGAAACUCCCAACAUCAUUAAAGGGCCUCCCAAUGUCACGUGUGUACGUCUGUAAGGUCCAGAGGAAGGCGGUCUAAUUAGGAAUUUGCCCAGAAAUGUGUUCUUACAUGAUGGACACAUGAUUUGGUUUACUUUGAGCAUGAGUUGGUCUAUCAAAUGAUACUCAUACCAUGAAGAAAUGGUCUUGAGUCGAAAGGAGUCGUUGUGUCUGACCACGAUGGAAACGACCCAAACUAUACACCUUCUUGUGCCCUCCAUUCGUAAAAAGAACGUAUUUAGCUGACAGAUCAGUAUUAUUAUUAUCAUCUACAUCCUCAGGAGUUACUAGGCCUUUUGGCCAAAGACAGAAAGGUCCUCCAGGAGAUAGCCUCGUCCCGCUCCUCCACGACCAGCCCUUCCCGGGUGCCCUACAUCCUGUGGGCCCGGCUAAAGCGUGCGCUGGGCCCCCACCUCAGCGAGGUCCGGACGGACGGGACGUGGGUGUACCGCUGGAGUCACUCCGCCCUGGGCCGCGUCUGCGCUGACCGCUACCUCAAGACGGAGGACUCCCGCAAGGCCGCGCACGCCGACUACGCCGAGUACUACGGCGAGAGAACGCGCCACGCCGCCACGUUCCAGCCGCUGGCGUGGCGGCGGGUGGCGGGGCACGAGGAGGAGGAGGAGGAGGAGGAGGGGGAUGAGGGCGAGGGAGAGGGCGUGGCCGAGAGCCAGGUGUUCAACCUGAGGAAGCUCCACGGCCUGCCGUUCCACCUGGUCCGCUCGGGGCAGAUCGUGCCCUUCAUGACGCAGUGCGUGUUCCGCUAUGACUUCCUGCUGCACAAGCUGCAGGGCCUGUCGGUCCUGGACGUGGAGGAGGAGCUGAAGUACGCCGUGCUGCCCGACAAGGUGAUUGCCGAUGUGGAGGUCCUAGCUGGGGCGCUGGCGCUGUCCCGUGCCGUGUUGGAGGAGGACCCCUGUCAACUGGCCUCCCAGAUCAUAGGACGCCUGGGACAAAUACUGGCUGAAGACAAACCAGUGGCCCCAGGUACAACAUCACAACCCCGGUUUGUUAUGGUGGACGUCAGGGCAUUUGAUGGGAGACCUGACGAAUUUCCCAUCUAGGGUCAAUGAAGUAGUGUCGUAUCGUACCCACUCCUGACCUGAAGAUGUGUCUGUGUCUCAUUGAUGCAGGUGACCCACUGAAGUUCAGCUACCUCCACGCCCUGCUGAGUCAGUGUGCCCACUCCUCUCUGCCAGUCCUGGUGCCCUCCUACACCUGCCUUCUGCCCCCUGGUGGCCUCACACACCACCUCCUGGCAGGUAAACACCCCCAAGACUGUGGCUGGACGUGAGUUUGAGACGGUUUAAGUGUUAAUAGUUCGACCGUUCUGCCCAAGAACACGGUACGCAAUCCCGUCCAUUGUUUUGUGGUUUAGACACAUCCCCCAGCUUCUAGUCUGAGUAAAUAAGUUGGAGUAUACAAGUCCAUGGAUUCCAUCCAUGUUUUUAUCAACUCCAAACAAAUCUGGAUGAAAAAGUGACUGGGCAAUGAUCAGGGGCCAAAAUCGACACCUAGCCACCAGCCAAUGGCAGUUAAGAUUCAGCCAUGUGGCAUGUAAGAAAUAUCUGGCCGCUGUAUUUUUGCUGGCCCAGUCGAUUUUUCCACCCUGGCAGAUGAAAGACAUUGUGUUUGUUAAUUCUGGACCCUGGGUAUGAUGAGUGAAAUUGGUAUAGCGGACUGCGAAGGAUUUGGCUCCAAUACUUCGGCCCCCCCUGUAGUCACUCCUGCACCCCCCCCAUCACAGGUCACUCGUCCCCCAUCACGGCCCUCGGAGGGGGGCGGGGGGCCUCGGUGGCGGUCUCUUGCGCGGCGGACGGAGACAUCCAUCUGUGGGACCUGGAGAAGAGGGGCGUGGUCAGGACCCUGGGGGGCGCGGCGGCCGACCACCUGACCCUGGGGCUGGACGACAGCGUGCUCGUCGUCUGCGCGGGACAGAGCCUGCAGGUCGACAGUUUAUUCUGAUGUGUUUUUAAAAAGGCGUUGUAGGUACGAUUCUGGAGUUGUGAAGACAGCAAGAGAACAUCGCCAAUUUCGGCUCAUCAAAAAGCUAUGGUUUGGGGGAGUGAUAACUGUUAUAUACACACACACAUUUAUGCUAACUGACACUGUCUUGUGACCAUCCAGGUGAGAG
rnacentral:lncRNA from 1 species